AAAAAAAAAAAAAGAAAAGAUUUGUGUCUCAAAGCCUCCCUCAAUUGAUUCUAUGUGGUGUGUGUGUGUGUGUGUGUGUGUGUGUGUGUGUGUGUAUGAGCAUACAUUCAUAGAGGUGACAGAUGAUUAGAUGACCAUAAGCUUCACUUUCUUCGGUUUCUCUGGAGUCCUGCUUUUUAUAGUAUCAUGUUAGAUUUGACAAACGCUAGGACGUUCUGUCAUUUCAAGAAAGCCACAUUUGUUCACUUUACUUUUUCCACAUUAAUUAGAUGAUACCUGCAGGAAUCAUCUCAUCAUUAUGGAAUGCUGCACUGUCUAUUUAAUCUUUAUUGUCUGAGAUUUGGGACUUCGCAGUGAUGGAAUAUUUUUCUGGAAAUAACAUAAUAUCUCUGGAGAAAAUGGGCUUUCUCUUAUGAUAGUAUAUCAUUUGUGUGUCCUGUUCUAGGCCACCAGUGUCCUUGAAGGCUUCACCAAGUGUGUUCCCUCUGUAACACCCACCAGAGAAAAAUAUGCACAAUUGGUGUUGUAUACAUAAAUUUAAAGAAAAUCUGGCUAUUUUUCCUCUCAACAUUAACUAUCCUGGAAGUAGUAUUUUUAUAAACACUUAUGUCAAGAUCGAAAGGCUCACUCCGUCCAGCUGCUUGGCUGUUGUAGAAAAGUAUUUGGAAAAAUCAUCUUAACAGGAAAGCUGCCCUCUGUCUUUCUCCCUACAUACCCAAAAAUCUGCUUGCCAAAACCGUAAUGAUGGCAUCAGAAAUAGGACAUAUUCAAAUGUUAGAUGGACUGAGAACGCUCAAAAUUAUUAGAAAUAAA